rnacentral:rRNA from 1 species
AGGACUAACGCUGGCGGCGUGCCUAACACAUGCAAGUCGAACGGGGGUAGCAAUACCCCAGUGGCAGACGGGUGAGUAACACGUGGUCAACCUACCUCUGUGUGGGGGAUAACUAGCCGAAAGGUUAGCUAAUACCGCAUACGAUCGUUUUGAGGCAUCUCGAGACGAUGAAAGGAGCAAUCCGCACGGAGAGGGGACUGCGUCCCAUUAGUUAGUUGGUGGGGUAACGGCAUACCAAGACUCCGAUGGGUAGCUGGCUUGAGAGAGCGACCAGCCACACUGGAACUGAGACACGGUCCAGACUCCUACGGGAGGCAGCAGUGAGGAAUUUUCCGCAAUGGGCGAAAGCCUGACGGAGCGACGCCGCGUGUGGGAUGAAGGCCUUCGGGUCGUAAACCACUGUCGAAGGGGACGAUAUUGACGGUACCCUUGGAGGAAGCCCCGGCUAACUACGCGCCAGCAGCCGC